CACGCAUUCUUAUAAUUGGCUGAACUCAUCACAACUAUUAACUACCACCAAUAACAUACGUCGGUGUAUAUUAUGUUUGGUGGGGCAAGUGGCUUACUGUCCGCAGUCUCCGAGUGUCAAGUUACCAUGACACUAUAAGUCUAUUUAUGCUGUUCAGUGUAAUUAAACGCGAGACGAUACAAACAACAAGAAAUUUAAUCACUAAUUUUCCAGUCCACGAGUGAAUUACAAUAUAUUCCAGUGAUUGCAAUAACUGCGAAAAUUUUCUUUGUUAAUCAAGUUUCGUUAACGAAGCUUUCUGUCCUUCAAAGUUUCCAGAGUUUUUCAGUUGUUAACGUGUAUAUAUAUGCAUGAAAACUCGCAAUGACGAUAGCACAUCGAAGAAACAAUUUCAUGGAAAACUAAGUAAUAAUUAUUCGAGUUUUAGAAAUUGACGAAGAACUUUUUGAGCAAUUUCCGUAAAAUUAAGAAUUCCACAAAGGAAGAAUUCUCAAAAUUGAUAAAAGCAUACGUGAACAUAUUCUUCAAUUUGGUUAAUGUUCAAGUUUUUUUUGGAAUAUUUUUUUAGAAUAUACAGGUAUCUAUGAGAUCGAUAGAAAAUUAAUUUCGUUUACUGGCUGGCAAUUUUGCAUUUAGAUUGCGGAACACGAAGUUUCUAUUCUGUAGAAAAUUGAAUGCUUAAGAGAGAGAAACAGUAAACUUUGUUCAUCGCAAGGAAUGGAGUUUGUUAGCAUUCCAAACUUCGUUAGGAAUCGUAAUUUGAAACGAGAAAUGGAAGAAAGUGUCUGGAAAAUUAAUAAAUUUGCAUAUUUGUCUAAAUAUUUGCGUUUGAAGUGGAAAAUGCUAAUUAAAGAAAAGGCAAGCUGAAAAUUAUUCCCAACCAGAAUAUAAAAUUUAACAAACAAUUAUUUUCUACUCACCUAGUAAAGACAAGGCACAGUAACGUAGCACUAAGGAUCAUAAGUUGCUGACUUAAAGCUGAUUGAGAUUUUUGCAUAGCUCUGUGCAGAUCGUUCUGAAAAAAAAAAAA